rnacentral:rRNA from 1 species
GACGAACGCUGGCGGCGUGCCUAAUACUUGCAAGUAGAACGCUGAAGGAGGAGCUUGCUUCUCUGGAUGAGUUGCGAACGGGUGAGUAACGCGUAGGUAACCUGCCUGGUAGCGGGGGAUAACUAUUGGAAACGAUAACUAAUACCGCAUAAUAGCAGUUAUUGCAUGAUAACUGUUUGAAAGGUGCAAUUGCAUCACUACCAGAUGGACCUGCGUUGUAUUAGCUAGUUGGUGGGGUAACGGCUCACCAAGGCGACGAUACAUAGCCGACCUGAGAGGGUGAUCGGCCACACUGGGACUGAGACACGGCCCAGACUCCUACGGGAGGCAGCAGUAGGGAAUCUUCGGCAAUGGACGGAAGUCUGACCGAGCAACGCCGCGUGAGUGAAGAAGGUUUUCGGAUCGUAAAGCUCUGUUGUAAAGAGAAAGAAACGAGUGUGAGAAGUGGAAAAG